AAGGAAUUGACGGGCACCCGCACAAGCGGUGGAGCAUGCUGUUUAAUUCGAUGCUACGCGAAGAACCUUACCUGGGCUUGACAUCCCAAUGAAAGUUUUUAGAAAUAAGAAUCCUCUCCUUCGGGAGACAUUGGUGACAGGUGGUGCAUGGUUGUCGUCAGCUCGUGUCGUGAGGUGUUCGGUUAAGUCCGAUAACGAGCGCAACCCUUUUCCUUAAUUGCUAACAUUUAGUUGAGAACCUUAAGGAUACUGCCGGUGAUAAACCGGAGGAAGGUGGGGAUGACGUCAAAUCAUCAUGCCCCUUACGUCCAGGGCUACAGGCGUGCUACAAUGGCUGGUAUAAUAAGAUGCAAUACCGUGAGGUGGAGCAAAUCUCCAAAACCAGUCCCAGUCCGGAUUGGAGUCUGCAACUCGACUCCAUGAAGUUGGAAUCGCUAGUAAUCCCAAAUCAGAAUGUUGGGGUGAAUACGUUCCCGGGUGUUGUACACACCGCCCGUCACGCCAUGGGAGUCGAUAAUACCCGAAGCUGGUAGCCUAACCUUUUAGGAGGGGGCCAUCUAAGGUAGGAUCGGUGACUGGGGUG
rnacentral:rRNA from 1 species